AUCUAAGAGCCAAACAAUCUACAAUUGCUCUUUGAACGUCAUGUAUCAUGGUGCUGGUCAGACUAUUAGACAAACUGACCUUUAGUACUGAUGGAUCCAUAAUAGUUCCACCAUGAUAAAACAUGACACAGUAGAUAAAGCUGAUUUGAGGGAUGCUGGGAGAACUAUACAGGAAAGAAGGCCAUCAGUUGGAUUUGCUGAUCUAGCAUUUCUCCUGCUCCGACUGAUUGUCUGCCAUCUAGCUGAUGUAAGACCAGCCCGUGGUGUGACAUACUGAAACUUCCAGGCAGUAAGAUGGAGUUUUGGAGGAUCGUAAGACCACUGGUGUAGGAUAUGAGACACUGCUUUGGGCAGUAGCAAAGAUGACAGAACGCUCUCAAGAAUGACUCACAGAUGGAGAAAGCACAAGAAAACGAGGGUUUGGAAAGGGAAAGCCAGCGAACAGCGUGAGCAGUGCAGCGCUGGAGCAUGUGAGGGCAAGAAGUACUUCAACACACACACAUUAAGAGCAUACCAGCGCUGUGUGUGCGUUAAGAGGGUUGGGUUUCUAAAUGACAGAUCAUUAUCAUGCUAAUUAAAGCAUUUUGUAGCUGUGA